CACUCCAUUCUGAUGAACCACCCUCCAAAAUCUUCGCUUAGGAUGAGAGCUCAGGGGCUGGGAAUCUCCGAAACCUUCUCCGAUUUAAGAAGACAAGGAAGAGUGAGCUCUUGUCUUUCUUGCCUUCGGGUUACGCAUCCCCUGCUAUCUUUUUCUUUUAAGUUUCUUCCUUCAAUUUUCUCUUAACUAAGAUGAUUUAGCUUCAAAAGGGAAGAAUUGCAAGGUGAAAUCUGUAGGAUUGCCCUCCAAAAGGGAAAUCUGCAGGAGAAUGGAGCAAUAUAUUUAGUAAACAUAGUUAUCUAAAAGGUUGUAUCUAUUGACAUCAUAUGAAGCAGGUGAAUCUAGUUAGGACAAGGCAACAUCUCUGUCCAUAAGGAUAUGGAACUAUUUGAGGCUAUAUGUAUUUCGUCAUCCUCUAUAUUUAAUUGCCCUCAUGGCGGGUUCUGAAGUUGACCCUCUCUGAGAGCUGUAUGGGAAUACAAGUUGUAUGAGGCCACCAAGUAAUGCCACCAUUAUUAUGUCCAUGCAUAGGAGGAUGAUACGAUCUGCAACACAAACCCAAGAAAAGGGUGCACAUAUCAAUGCUAUUUUGCUGGAUAAGCAACAACAUUGCUCCUUUUGCCGAAGAAAUUAUGAACAUCACAGAAAAAGCAGUUGUCGAUUACUUAAUCAUCUUUAACAAGAUAUGUUAUCUCUGCUUAGGUUGCAUUUAUACCAUACAUCACUGCUGGUGAUCCUGAUCUAUCGACAACAGCAAAAGCCCUGAAGCUACUGGACUGUUGUGGUGCUGAUAUAAUCGAGUUGGGGUUGCCAUACAAUAAUCCUAUUUUGGAUGGUCCUGUGAUACAGGUUCUUGAUUUUUUUCUUUUCUGAUUAUUUCUUGUAUCACCAGUCAAUCUAUAUUUGCCACUGAUUUUUUUCCUAAGACAGAGAGAGAGACAGAGAAAAAGAAGAAGCAAGGCUUCUAUCUAAUAAGAUUCAUGUUCCUUUUUUUCCCCUUCUGUAGGCAUCAAACAAAAGAGCCUUGGCUGGCAAGACAAACAUGGAAGCAGUCAUCUCCAUGUUAAAGGAGGUAAGACAUCCUUAGAGACAGCAUCCUACUACUAAUGCAUAGGUCUGUUGCUUUGUUAGCUCUAUCUAUAAUAUAUCUUACGACAAUCUUAACUUUGAAAAAAUCAUUGGUUCGGCAACUGAUUGUUAGAGUAGAGUUGCAUUGGUUUCAACAUUAGCACCUUCUGAUCUAUGAACAUCUCAAAUGCCUAAUAAAAAAACAGCAUAUUAACAGGUAAUCCUUUCGGUACUUAAGCCUCCAUUCAAUAAAGGAAUCUCUCUUGCUUUUGAAAAAAAAGAUAUGCACUUGGAAAAUCUAAAGUUUGUUUCGGUCUUGGUUCCUCGAAUUACUUUGACAAGUUAUUAUAAAGUUCAAAUGGAGUCAGCAAACAAGCUUGUAGGCAGUUGUCCCUUAUAACACAUUGUAAUUAAAUGGUUAACCCACAAUCUCCAAGAAUGUCACCAUGAGGAUGCUCAGUAAUAUCACAUUACAGUUGGGUUGCUUUCGGGCCAAUCUUCUUGAACUCUUUCAGAGAUCAUCCCAUACUUUUGAAGUUCCAAAAGGAAUAUAAUGUGUGAUCAAAUUUAUGCAGGUAGUUCCACAAAUCUCUUGUCCGAUUGUAAUAUACUCAUAUUACAAUCUAAUACUGGCCCGCAGAAGUGAAUGGUUCUUGUCUGCAUUGGAAGAUGCUGGUGCCAAAGGUAAUGCAUGACUUGUUCAGAUGCUCAAGCUUCGCUUAUCUCCAACUUCAAAAUAUACCUGACAUAUGAAAUUUGAUUGUUCUACACUUGGAAGAUAAUAUUUCUUCAUAUUUCUAUGAAGAGGACAUAGAUUUGUUGUUAGCCAAAUGUUCUUGCUAGACAUUUGACCGUAUGAAGAGAACAAUAUUUGUCAUAUGGUAAGAAAAAUGUUAAAUGUGUACUCUGCAGGGAUUAUUGUGCCAGACCUUCCAUUUGAAGAGAGUGCUGAUUUGAAGAGAGAAGCUGCCAAGAAAAACAUUGAUAUGGUAGGCUGAUUUGUUCCCUCUACUUCAUAGUUUAGUGUUUCUUUGAGGUAUAAAUUACAUAGGCAUCAGAGUUAUUGAAAUCAAUGAGCUUCUUUCUUCACAUUUCCUGAUUCUUCUGUAUGUUUAGGAUUUAUAAAUUAUGAUCAACUUAGUCAUAUGGUAGUCUUUAUAGCCACAAUAGAUUACUAAGUUUCUCCUUUG
rnacentral:lncRNA from 1 species